GAUGAACGCUGGCGGCGUGCCUAAUACAUGCAAGUCGAGCGAACGGACGAGAAGCUUGCUUCUCUGAUGUUAGCGGCGGACGGGUGAGUAACACGUGGAUAACCUACCUAUAAGACUGGGAUAACUUCGGGAAACCGUAGCUAAUACCGGAUAAUAUUUUGAACCGCAUGGUUCAAGAGUGAAAGACGGUCUUGCCGUCACUUAUAGAUGGAUCCGCGCUGCAUUAGCUAGUUGGUAAGGUAACGGCUUACCAAGGCAACGAUGCAUAGCCGACCUGAGAGGGUGAUCGGCCACACUGGAACUGAGACACGGUCCAGACUCCUACGGGAGGCAGCAGUAGGGAAUCUUCCGCAAUGGGCGAAAGCCUGACGGAGCAACGCCGCGUGAGUGAUGAAGGUCUUCGGAUCGUAAAACUCUGUUAUUAGGGAAGAACAUAUGUGUAAGUAACUGUGCACAUCUUGACGGUACCUAAUCAGAAAGCCACGGCUAACUACGUG
rnacentral:rRNA from 1 species